rnacentral:rRNA from 2 species
UUAGCUAGUUGGUGAGGUAACGCCUCACCAAGGCGACGAUGCGUAGCCGACCUGAGAGGGUGAUCGGCCACACUGGGACUGAGACACGGCCCAGACUCCUACGGGAGGCAGCAGUAGGGAAUCUUCCGCAAUGGACGAAAGUCUGACGGAGCAACGCCGCGUGAGUGAUGAAGGUUUUCGGAUCGUAAAGCUCUGUUGUUAGGGAAGAACAAGUGCAAGAGUAACUGCUUGCACCUUGACGGUACCUAACCAGAAAGCCACGGCUAACUACGUGCCAGCAGCCGCGGUAAUACGUAGGUGGCAAGCGUUGUCCGGAAUUAUUGGGCGUAAAGGGCUCGCAGGCGGUUUCUUAAGUCUGAUGUGAAAGCCCCCGGCUCAACCGGGGAGGGUCAUUGGAAACUGGGAAACUUGAGUGCAGAAGAGGAGAGUGGAAUUCCACGUGUAGCGGUGAAAUGCGUAGAGAUGUGGAGGAACACCAGUGGCGAAGGCGACUCUCUGGUCUGUAACUGACGCUGAGGAGCGAAAGCGUGGGGAGCGAACAGGAUUAGAUACCCUGGUAGUCCACGCCGUAAACGAUGAGUGCUAAGUGUUAGGGGGUUUCCGCCCCUUAG